CUACGGAGGAUGCGAGCGUUAUCCGGAUUUAUUGGGUUAAAAGGGUGCGUAGGCUGUGCGUUAAGUCAGGGGUGAAAUGCCGUCGCUCAACGACGGAGCUGCCCUUGAUACUGGCGUGCUGGAGUACGGAUGCCGUUGGAGGAAUGAGUGGUGUAGCGGUGAAAUGCUUAGAUAUCACUCAGAACACCGAUUGCGAAGGCAUCUGACGAAUCCGUCACUGACGCUGAGGCACGAAAGCGUGGGGAUAGAACAGGAUUAGAUACCCUGGUAUUCCACGCCGUAAACGAUGAUGACUAACCGUCGGCGAUAGACAGCCGGUGGCCAAGCGAAAGCGAUAAGUCAUCCACCUGGGGAGUACGUCGGCAACGAUGAAACUCAAAGGAAUUGACGGGG
rnacentral:rRNA from 1 species